UCCUCUUCAACUCAGCCUCUUCCCAAAGGAAAAGAGCCAAGAAGAGAAAAUGCUGUGCCUGCUGUUGCUCUUGGGCCCUAGUGCUGGUCUUGGGACAUUCAUCUCUCAGACCCCAAGCAGAGGGAUCUGGAGGAAAGGGGCCUCUGUGAAGAUUGAUUGUGAACAGAAUGGUCAACCCAUUAUCAUGCUAUGGUACCAGCAGCUUCGACAUCAGGGCUUGGUACUUAUUGGGAUUACGAACAAGGGCUCCGAUGCCACCCAUGAGAAGGGAUUUAAUAAGUCCAAGUUCCCUAUUACUCGACUAGUGUCCAACUCCUCCACUUUGACAGUGACCAGUGUGAUUCCAGAAGAUAGUGGCUUCUAUUUCUGCAGUGCUAGUGACACACUGAGAGAACUUGAUCAAAGUCUGCAACAAGAACCUUGGCUUUUCCUCUCCUACUCACAUGUGGAGAAGGUGAGGGAUUCUGAUAGAGCAGAGGGAAACCACAGCUAUGGGGGUAGACAGCAGGGUCUUGGGUAA